AUGCUCACUUUGGCAGCAUGUAUACUAAAAUUGGAAUGAUACACAGAAGAUUAACAUGACCCCUACGCAAGGAUGACAUGCAAAUUCGUGAAGCAUUCCAUAUUUUU
rnacentral:snRNA from 1 species